rnacentral:lncRNA from 1 species
CUGGCUUCUGCUCUCCCCACUGCUUGCACUUUUCACCAGGACCAGCACCAGCUUCCCACAGUGGCCUUGUGGCACAGCUUGGCCAUGUGUGAGUUCUGGGCAGUGCUUCUGCAAGACCUGGGUGAGGACUCAGCUCCCCUGGCUCAGCUGCCUGCCAUGGCAGUAGCAGGUGAAGGAGCUGAGAACACAGAAAUUUGAAGGCAAUUGAGCAAUUUUACAGUCUGGAGUCCUGAUUCAGCAGCCUUCCCUGUUCAGCAAAGAAAUGAUGUGCUUAAUUCCAAUGGGACUUGGGCAUAUGCCUAAUUGGGACCAAUGUU